rnacentral:rRNA from 1 species
UACAGAGGUCUCAAGCGUUGUUCGGAUUCAUUGGGCGUAAAGGGUGCGUAGGCGGCGCGGUAAGUCGGGUGUGAAAUCUUGGAGCUUAACUCCGAAACUGCAUUCGAUACUGCCGUGCUUGAGGACUGGAGAGGAGACUGGAAUUUACGGUGUAGCGGUGAAAUGCGUAGAUAUCGUAAGGAAGACCAGUGGCGAAGGCGGAUCUCUGGACAGUUACUGACACUGAGGCACGAAGGCCAGGGGAGCAAACGGG